AGAGCUGAUCCAAUAAAGGCAUCUUAAUUGGAGCAGAAGGUCUCCUAGCCAUAUUUCUUACAAAUUGGGGGCUCGUCCGGGAGAGCCACGCCCACCGAAGAAGAUUCGACGGGACGGCCGCCUGCUUCGGAUCUUCGAGGGAUCGUCGGCUACACGGACGACGCGGGACCCACACGGCGCCGAAGACCAGCGCCGAGGACCGGCGCCGAAGACCAGCGCCGAGGAUCAGCGAGGGACCAGCACCGCGGAGGAGCGCCGAGGAGUGUUCCUCCGCCCCUUUCACCCCUGCUGUGUACUGCCUCCGCUGCUCCCCACGUGCCAGUCACGCGAGCACCGCCCUCGACACCGCCCCUGCUGCUCCACCGGGCUCCGCCUCUGUCUGGUUGCUGGAAACUCCGCCUCCGAUGUAAAAGACUCCAAGGCUCCCAGGAUGCACUUCCAAACCCGGAAGUCCAGUUAGGGCAGAUAGCCCUUUAGAGCCACUGACCAAGGCCAAACUGGAGCCUGCAAGAGACACUGUUGGACUAAGCAACUGUCCAGCUAGCAGCCGGAGCCUCGGAGCCUCGAACUUCCUCGCCCUCACCGCAACAGCACUCUAGGGAGGUGACACCCCUAGACACGACGAGCCACGUCAGGCGUUCCGGAGAACUCCCGUGAGGACGGAAGCCCCGGCUCUGCAGCAUCAGCAGCAGGACCGACCAUCUCCUCCUCUUCGGCGGUGCUCUCCGUGGGAGCAGCGGCGGUGUGCGCAGCCCCUCGAGCCCCCACCCCUCAAAAGAGCUGAUCCAAUAAAGGCAUUUUAAUUGGAGCAGAAGGUCUCCUAGCCAUAUUUCUUA